ensembl:misc_RNA Metazoa_SRP Metazoan signal recognition particle RNA
AGUCAGUAGAACUGGCAACUCAGGAGGCUGAGGUGAGAUCACUUGAGUCCAGGAGUUCUGGGCUGUAGUGCACUAUGCUGACUGGGUGUCCACACUAAAUUCGGCAUCAGUGUGCUUUCAUCCCAGGAGCAGGGAACUACCAGGUUGACUAAGGAGGAGUGAACCAGCCCAGGUCAGAAACGGAACAGGUCAAAACUCCCAUGCUGAUCAGCAGUGGGAUCUCACCUGUGAAUAGCCACUUCAUUUCAGUCUGGGCAACACAAUAAGACUGUCUUU